rnacentral:rRNA from 1 species
AUGAACGCUGGCGGCGUGCCUAAUCCAUGCAAGUCGAGCGAACGGACGAGAAGCUUGCUUCUCUGAUGUUAGCGGCGGACGGGUAAGUAACACGUGGAUAACCUACCUAUAAGACUGGGAUAACUUCGGGAAACCGGAGCUAAUACCGGAUAAUAUUUUGAACCGCAUGGUUCAAAAGUGAAAGACGGUCUUGCUGUCACUUAUAGAUGGAUCCGCGCUGCAUUAGCUAGUUGGUAAGGUAACGGCUUACCAAGGCAACGAUGCAUAGCCGACCUGAGAGGGUGAUCGGCCACACUGGAACUGAGACACGGUCCAGACUCCUACGGGAGGCAGCAGUAGGGAAUCUUCCGCAAUGGGCGAAAGCCUGACGGAGCAACGCCGCGUGAGUGAUGAAGGUCUUCGGAUCGUAAAACUCUGUUAUUAGGGAAGAACAUAUGUGUAAGUAACUGUGCACAUCUUGACGGUACCUAAUCAGAAAGCCACGGCUAACUACGUG